GACGUAGGUGGCGAACGUUAUCCGGAAUUAUUGGGCGUAAAGGGUGCGUAGGUGGCCUGACAAGUUAUCAGUGGCAAAUCGAGGCUCAACCUCGUGGAAACUGGUAAUACUGUCCGGCUUGAGUACAGGAGAGGUUAACGGAACUCUAUGUGGAGCGGUAAAAAUGCAAAGAUAUAUAGAAGAACAUCAAUAACGGCGAAGGCAGUUAACUAUUCUGUUACUGACACUGAGGCACGAAAGCGUGGGGAGCAAAACGG
rnacentral:rRNA from 1 species